GGAUUGUGGCUCAGCGGUAGAGCACUCACCUAGCGCGGGUGGGACCCGGGUUUGAUCCUCAGCACCA
rnacentral:tRNA from 1 species